AGUGAACGCUGGCGGUAGGCCUAACACAUGCAAGUCGAACGGCAGCACAGUAAGAGCUUGCUCUUACGGGUGGCGAGUGGCGGACGGGUGAGGAAUACAUCGGCAUCUACUUUUUCGUGGGGGAUAACGUAGGGAAACUUACGCUAAUACCGCAUACGACCUACGGGUUAAAGCAGUAGAUCUUCAGACCUUUCGCGAUUCAAUUAGCCGAUGUCGCAUUAGCUAGUUGGCUAGGUAAAGGCCUACCAAGGCAACGAUCCGUAGCUGAUCUGAGAGGAUGAUCAGCCACACUGGAACUGAGACACGGUCCAGACUCCUACGGGAGGCAGCAGUGGGGAAUAUUGGACAAUGGGCGAAAGCCUGAUGGAGCAACACCGCGUGAGUGAAGAAGGCCUUCGGGUUGUAAAGCUCUGUUAUUGGGAAAGAAAAACAGUGGGUUAAUACAUCGCCGUUUUGACGGUACCCAAAGAAUAAGCACCGGCUAACUACGUG
rnacentral:rRNA from 1 species